rnacentral:rRNA from 1 species
GUGGGGAAUUUUGGACAAUGGGGGCAACCCUGAUCCAGCAAUGCCGCGUGCAGGAAGAAGGCCUUCGGGUUGUAAACUGCUUUUGUACGGAACGAAACGGUCCUGGUUAAUACCUGGGGCUAAUGACGGUACCGUAAGAAUAAGCACCGGCUAACUACGUACCAGCAGCCGCGGUAAUACGUAGGGUGCAAGCGUUAAUCGGAAUUACUGGGCGUAAAGCGUGCGCAGGCGGUUUUGUAAGACAGGCGUGAAAUCCACGGGCUCAACCUGGGAAUGGCGCUUGUGACUGCAAGGCUGGAGUGCGGCAGAGGGGGAUGGAAUUCCGCGUGUAGCAGUGAAAUGCGUAGAUAUGCGGAGGAACACCGAUGGCGAAGGCAAUCCCCUGGGCCUGCACUGACGCUCAUGCACGAAAGCGUGGGGAGCAAACAGGAUUAGAUACCCUAGUAGUCC